rnacentral:rRNA from 1 species
GACGAACGCUGGCGGCGUGCCUAAUACAUGCAAGUCGAACGAACUCUGGUAUUGAUUGGUGCUUGCAUCAUGAUUUACAUUUGAGUGAGUGGCGAACUGGUGAGUAACACGUGGGAAACCUGCCCAGAAGCGGGGGAUAACACCUGGAAACAGAUGCUAAUACCGCAUAACAACUUGGACCGCAUGGUCCGAGUUUGAAAGAUGGCUUCGGCUAUCACUUUUGGAUGGUCCCGCGGCGUAUUAGCUAGAUGGUGAGGUAACGGCUCACCAUGGCAAUGAUACGUAGCCGACCUGAGAGGGUAAUCGGCCACAUUGGGACUGAGACACGGCCCAAACUCCUACGGGAGGCAGCAGUAGGGAAUCUUCCACAAUGGACGAAAGUCUGAUGGAGCAACGCCGCGUGAGUGAAGAAGGGUUUCGGCUCGUAAAACUCUGUUGUUAAAGAAGAACAUAUCUGAGAGUAACUGUUCAGGUAUUGACGGUAUUUAACCAGAAAGCCACGGCUAACUACGUGCCAGCAGCCGCGGUAAUACGUAGGUGGCAAGCGUUGUCCGGAUUUAUUGGGCGUAAAGCGAGCGCAGGCGGUUUUUUAAGUCUGAUGUGAAAGCCUUCGGCUCAACCGAAGAAGUGCAUCGGAAACUGGGAAACUUGAGUGCAGAAGAGGACAGUGGAACUCCAUGUGUAGCGGUGAAAUGCGUAGAUAUAUGGAAGAACACCAGUGGCGAAGGCGGCUGUCUGGUCUGUAACUGACGCUGAGGCUCGAAAGUAUGGGUAGCAAACAGGAUUAGAUACCCUGGUAGUCCAUACCGUAAACGAUGAAUGCUAAGUGUUGGAGGGUUUCCGCCCUUCAGUGCUGCAGCUAACGCAUUAAGCAUUCCGCCUGGGGAGUACGGCCGCAAGGCUGAAACUCAAAGGAAUUGACGGGGGCCCGCACAAGCGGUGGAGCAUGUGGUUUAAUUCGAAGCUACGCGAAGAACCUUACCGGGUCUUGACAUACUAUGCAAAUCUAAGAGAUUAGACGUUCCCUUCGGGGACAUGGAUACAGGUGGUGCAUGGUUGUCGUCAGCUCGUGUCGUGAGAUGUUGGGUUAAGUCCCGCAGCGAGCGCAACCCUUAUUAUCAGUUGCCAGCAUUAAGUUGGGCACUCUGGUGAGACUGCCGGUGACAAACCGGAGGAAGGUGGGGAUGACGUCAAAUCAUCAUGCCCCUUAUGACCUGGGCUACACACGUGCUACAAUGGAUGGUACAACGAGUUGCGAACUCGCGAGAGUAAGCUAAUCUCUUAAAGCCAUUCUCAGUUCGGAUUGUAGGCUGCAACUCGCCUACAUGAAGUCGGAAUCGCUAGUAAUCGCGGAUCAGCAUGCCGCGGUGAAUACGUUCCCGGGCCUUGUACACACCGCCCGUCACACCAUGAGAGUUUGUAACACCCAAAGUCGGUGGGGUAACCUUUUAGGAACCAGCCGCCUAAGGUGGGACAGAUGAUUAGGGUG